AAUGACAAUAAUAUCAGCUUACAUUGGGUUAAAUCAACAUCAUUUUAAAUUUCUCUUACGUCUAUACAGUAUAGAUCUGUACGUAUGCACGUAGGAUUUAUAUGUUAUCAAUAUGUUAAAAUUAUAAAUGGUCUAUCAAUACAGAAUGAUUGCUUACGACGGGAGUAGAGAAGUUCAUGAGGGCUCCGGAAAUGAAUAGUAUGUGAGAAAAAUGCACAAACGUCAGUAGAUGUACCAAGAUCAUUUUCAUAGAUCCUGCUCCUCCUUGGUUUUAGGAUCUAACUCGGUUCGACUACUGUGUAUAGAGUUGGUGAAUGAUGAGAUAUAUCGAGAGAAGGUAUACUCUAGUAAUCAACUUACUGUCCAAAUGAAAAUUCUGCUGAAUUUAUCAAAAAGGAUAGAGACAUACUUCGAAAAAGCACACACGGUUUAGUAAGGCAUGCUUAAAAUGUUAAGCCGUCGAGAACUGAUGACACCAUUCCAUACUGUCGCGGAUCGUCAUCAGUUUUGUGCAACAAUAGCUGCUACAUUAACACUUAGCCAUAUCAAUUGUAAAAUA